rnacentral:rRNA from 1 species
AUGCUUUUCCUGGUCAUCCUCUUAAAGAAAAAUGAAAUACUUGAUAUCUUUUAUAAUGGACUAACCGAUGCUUCCAAGGACCACUUGGAUAGUUGUGUUGGUUGUGUUUUCAGGGAAAGAGCAGUCGACCAAGCUGAAUUGUUAUUGAAUAAUAUGUUGACUAAUGAAAAUAGUUGGACUCCUCCUGAGCCAAUUGAGCCAACUCCUGGGCCAAUUCCUAAACCAACUACGAAAAAGAGGGGAGUUCUAUUUCUCAGUCCUGAAGAUAUGCAAGAAGCAAAGAAAUCUAUGGAAGAAAAAGGUAUUAAAGCUGAAGAUGUUAAGAAUUUACCUCCUAUUAAAGAAAUACAUGGUCUUAAUAUACCACCUAUUGAAGAAACACAUUGUCUCGAUAACCCGACACAGGUAGUAAAGGUAAAUUCUCUCUAUAGAUAUGAUAAGGUUGAUAUCCCGUCUACUAAAUUUCCUAGCCAAUGUUUGGAUGAAUUUGAUGAUUUUAUGGCUAGACAAGAAAGUUUUAAUGCUUAUGUUGGUAGAGAAUUAAAGAAUAAUGCUUUCAUGAUUGGACGCUUGAGUGAUUAUAUGGCUAGAGUUAAUGGUGAACUUAAACUCAUUAGGAAAUAUGCUUCUAUGGUUACCACUCAAGCAGAGCAUGCUCAAAGUGAUUUGCUCGAUGAAUUAAAUAAUAAACAUGAUUUUGCAGUUAGAGUGGCUAUUAGAACUGGCAGAAUGACUCAGGAACCUUUGUAUCCUGAAGGCCACCCUAAGAGAAUCGAGCAAGAUUCUCAGAGAAAUAAUUUAGAUGCACCUAGUCCUUCUGAAAAGAAGAAAAAGAAAAAUGAUAGGACUUUGCAUGCUUCUAGUGAACCUGUUAUAGACACACCUGAGAAUCCCAAUGACAUUUCUAUUUCAGAUGCUGAAACACAAUCUGGUGAUGAACAUGAACCUAGCAAUAAUGUUAAUGAUAAUGUUCAUUUUGAUGCUCAACCUAGCAAUAAUAAUGAAGUAGAGAUUGAACCUGCUGUUGAUCUCGAUAACCCACAAUUAAAGAAUCAAUGUUAUGAUAAAAGAGAUUUUGUUGCCAGGAAGCACGGUAAAGAAAGAGAACCAUGGGUUCAGAAACCCAUGCCCUUUCCUCCCAAACCAUCCAAGACAAAGGAUGACGAGGAUUUUGAGCGCUUUGCUGAAAUGAUUAGAUCUAUCUUCUUACGUAUGCGCUUAACUGAUAUGCUUAGAGUGAACCCUUAUGCUAAGUACAUGAAAGAUAUUAUUACAAAUACAAGAAAGAUGCCGGAACCUGAAAUUUCCACCAUGCUUGCUAAUUAUACUUUUAAGGAUGGAAUACCAAAGAAACUUGGAGGUCCAGGAGUACCAACGAUACCAUGCUCCAUUAAAAGAAACUAUGUUAAAACUGCUUUAUGUGAUCUUGGAGCCGGUGUUAGUGUUAUGCCUCUCUCUUUAUAUCGUAGACUUGAAUUGAAUAAGUUGACACCUACUGAAAUAUGUUUGCAAAUGGCUGAUAAAUCAACUGCUAUACAUGUCGGUAUUUGUGAGGAUGUGCCUGUUGUGGUUGCAAAUGUCACUAUCUUAGCGGACUUUGUUAUUCUUGAUAUUCCUGAGGACGAUAGUAUGUCGAUUAUCCUUGGUAGACCCUUUUUGAAUACUCCAGGGGCUGUUAUUGAUUGCAACAAAGGCCAUGUCACUUUUCAUGUUAAUGGUAAUGAGCAUAUGGUACACUUUCCGAGGAAACAACCUCAAGUUCAUAGCAUCAAUUCUAUUGGAAAAGUUCUAACUAUAAUUAUUGGAGGUUUUGAAUUUCCUCUUCCUACUGUCAAGAAAAAAAUAUAUGAUAUUCUUAUUAUUGGGGAUGUUCAUAUCCCCGUUGAGGUAACCUAG